rnacentral:rRNA from 1 species
UACGUAGGGACCAAGCGUUGUUCGGAUUUACUGGGCGUAAAGGGCGCGUAGGCGGCUUAACAAGUCACUUGUGAAAUCUCCGGGCUUAACUCGGAACGGCCAAGUGAAACUGUCAAGCUAGAGUGCAGAAGGGGCAAUCGGAAUUCUUGGUGUAGCGGUGAAAUGCGUAGAUAUCAGGAGGAACACCGGUGGUGUAGACGGCUUUCUGGACCGUAACUGACGCUGAGACACGAAAGCGUGGGUAGCAAACAGG